rnacentral:rRNA from 1 species
AUACAGAGGGUGCGAGCGUUAAUCGGAAUUACUGGGCGUAAAGCGCGCGUAGGCGGCUACUUAAGUCAGAUGUGAAAUCCCCGGGCUCAACCUGGGAACUGCAUCUGAUACUGGGUAGCUAGAGUUUAGGAGAGGGAAGUAGAAUUUCAGGUGUAGCGGUGAAAUGCAUAGAGAUCUGAAGGAAUACCAGUGGCGAAGGCGGCUUCCUGGCCUAAAACUGACGCUGAGGUGCGAAAGCGUGGGUAGCAAACGGGAUUAGAAACCCGAGUAGUCC